GUUCGGUCAGUGAUGGCGAUGGGGAUGGGGAUGGACCCCCAGGUCCGUGCGGUCGGUGAUGGGGAUGGAUGUCCCAGUGCGUUCGUUCGGUGAUGGGGAUGGAUGUCCCGGUGCUGUCAUCUGUGUUCUGCAGGAAGCGACUCCAAACUCUGGGAACAGCGAGCGUCACUGGGGCUCCUCUUCACUAAAAUAACAGCACGGGGUCAUCACUAACGAGACAUCGCAACUUCACCCAGAAUGACCAGCAGCGAAUAAAAAUCAGAGCUUGCUCUGGGAUGCCGCUGCAGACACAGCGAGUUCAUGGGGUUCCUAUAAUCUUACAGCAUUGGAAAGAGACAAAUUUGCAACAAACCAUUGGCUUCCCUGGGCUGUUUUGGAAACAUUGCACCUCCAGCCUGCGGGGUGGCUUUGCACAGGUUUUGUCUCUGCUCUUGGCUCAGCUGCAGCUCAACAGCCCUGGAAGAAAAACGAGAGCAGAAGAUAUUCCAGGACUCUGAGGAUCAAUCUGUGUCCUCCUGCUCAUGAUGGCUGGUCUUCACAAUGGGGAAGAUGAUCCCAGAAGUUCCCUGUCCUUUGGGAGAUCCAUGCCAGCACUCAGGGAUGAAAAGCACUCCUGAUAAAUGCUAGAACACCUCAGGCUCUCAGUGAAGUGCUGGAAAAAUCUCUCAUUCCCAUCACAUUUUAAUAACAGCAAGAUCAGAAGUGUGGGGACUCAAUGUGAGGGAAGAGAGAAACUAAAGCCUGCAUGGCUGAGCACAAAAUGAUCCACACCAGCAAAAGUUCUCCCAAGUCCUCAGGAUCUCAGACUGGAAGUUUGAUCAGAAGCAAACUGUAAUUAUUUCAUCUGUUCUCCGGGGAGAGCAAGGAAUAUGAACCCUCCUGAUGGAACUACACAAAUGAUGCACGCAGGAAUUCCAGGAAAACCAGCCCUGAGAACGAGUGGGCAGGAUACACUAGAGAGCUGUCCCAGCUCAUUGGAGAUCAGCUGAUUUUCCGGAAUUCCAUCACCACUCAGCCAGAGUCCCUGGGCUUUAGUAAGGGGAGGUUAUCCUGGCAGACACUUCUCAGCUCUACAAGUCUGUAGAAUUUGGAUGCCUACAUUUUGCUCUCGCUUCAGUGAAUUGUGUUGGGAAAAAAUUAGCAGGAGAAAAUAAUUUGGAUUUAGAUCUCACUUUCAUAGACAUGCAUUCCUUAACAAAGGGCAAAGAUUGUCGUGUCAACACAAAAGAUAUAUUUCCAUUUUCUGACCCCAAAACAGCAAGGGUUUGUUGUAUAAUUAAGUUUGCACUCAUUUGUUUUCCUGCACCCUGAAUCUUUUCUGGAGCACGUCACAGGGCAAAAGGGACUAAUGAUGGAUAAUUGGAAUUCAUCCCUGCGAGUGCCAUUCUACACACACUGAAACUUCACAGAGCAAACACAUCCGAGUGCAGCUCCUUUCAGCACUCACACACACCAAACAAUAAAAACCCUCCUUCACUCUGGCCAUGCUUCUCUUUGCUGUAAGUAUAAGCAAAAAUUAUAUUGAGGAUUUUGAAUUAAUAUCCCGCAGGAUGAGUGAAGAUUUAUUUUGGCGUGUAGGAUGAUGCAGAAGAUCCGUUCUGUUGACAGUUCUGAACAGAAGCCCCCACAAAGAAAGUAAAGAUUUUGCAGAAUCUUCAACAACUACAGUGAACUGCGGGGAGGAUGAAGAACGCAGGAAUUGUGAGUUUCCUGAUGGAGAGGGGGAACCAAAGCACCCUUCCUGGAAAGAGCCUGGAACCACGCUCUUGACGCCCCUUAUGGGAGAUCCGUGUGGAUAUUUGAUGUAUUUAUAUGGACGGGUGAGAUUCCCGUGGGUAUUUGAGAUAAUUAUGUGGAUUGCUCCGUUCCCCUCUAUGGACCAGAGAGGCCUCAUCAGAGCACUGCUCCAGAGCCUUCAUCAUCUGCACAGGCUCUGCAGAUGGUGGCGAUUCCGGCAGGGGUGUUCACCAUGGGCACCCACGAACCCGAAAUCCAGCAGGACGGAGAGGGGCCUGCCCGGAGAGUCCACAUUGGCAGCUUCUACAUGGACCAGUACGAGGUCAGCAACCAGGAGUUCGAGAGAUUUGUGAAUUCCACGGGCUACAUCACUGAGGCAGAGAAAUUUGGUGACUCCUUUGUGUUUGAGGGGAUGCUGAGUGAAGCAGUGAAGGCUGACAUCCACCAAGCAGUGGCAGCUGCUCCCUGGUGGCUGCCUGUGAAAGGAGCCAGCUGGAAGCACCCUGAGGGCCCUGACUCCAGCAUCUCCAGCCGAAUGGAGCAUCCAGUCCUGCACGUUUCCUGGAAUGAUGCCGUGGCCUUCUGCACGUGGGCAGGGAAGCGGUUACCCACGGAGGCCGAGUGGGAGUACGCCUGUCGAGGGGGCCUUGAAAACAGGCUUUUCCCAUGGGGUAACAAGUUGCAGCCCAAAGGACAACACUAUGCCAACAUCUGGCAGGGAGAAUUCCCCACCAACAACACGGCAGAGGACGGGUACAAGGGGACUGCACCUGUCUCUGCCUUUCCCCCCAAUGGUUACGGCCUCUACAACAUGGUGGGGAACGCCUGGGAGUGGACAUCUGACUGGUGGGCUGUGCACCACUCCCCACAGGACCUCCACAACCCUAAAGGGCCGUCCUCGGGCACGGACAGAGUGAAGAAGGGUGGAUCCUACAUGUGCCAUAAGUCCUACUGCUACAGGUACCGCUGUGCGGCUCGGAGCCAGAACACCCCCGACAGCUCCGCGUCCAACCUGGGCUUCCGCUGCGCCGCCGACGCCGCGCCGGGGCCACGCUGACAGGGGGUGUUCCUCGGGCACAGCAGGGGCUGGAGCCCACCCCCGGGAGAAGAAACGUGAGCACUGGCCCUUGGUGAUGACACAGAAUGGAAAAGCCUCGCUCGGGGUUCCUGCCGAGGGAAGGAAAACCAGCACGACUCAACAGCGCUUGGAGAACCUUCGUGUUCGUGAGCAGCCCGGCCUGGGUUUCAAUCCUGACCAGAGUGCUUUGGUGUCAGCUGGAACAAAACUGAGCAGAAACACGCCAGUGAUGUUUUCAAAGAUGACUUAAUCUCAGAAUUACUUAGGCUGGAAAAGACCUCCGGUAUUAUUGAGUCCGACCCUUGACUGAUCACCGCCUUGUCAACUACAACGGCUCCUCUUUAGACGAGAUCUUUAUUAAUUUUAUUUAUGUAGAGCUUCUACACUCAAAUGCAAUAAGCAAAGACUAUAAACUUCUAGACAGCUUUAAAAGGAAUCCUAGGCAUUUAGGAAAUUCUAGGCAGCUUUGAGAGAGAAAUGAAGGAGUCAAGAAUGAGAGCUGGGAGGUGACAGCUCUCCCCACAGGCAGCUCGCACAGCCCUUUGUUACAUUCCACUUGCAGUGAAAAUCACGUCCAGAAAUGGCCUUCUUCUGGGGAGAUGUUUGCUGAUCUUUAGGAAGUGCCUUCUGCAGCUGAGGGUGAUGAUCCUCAGGCUGAUGAUGAUUAGAAAUCUUGUACAUAUUUGAAUAAAAUGUCAAGCGUUUGUUUAUGCCAAAGACUUUUAUUGAUGGAAAAACACAAUUUCCUUUGAAUUUCUUGGAUGCAAUGUAAGCUUAUUUUAAGGACUUGGAAAAUGCAAAACUGGCCUCAUUAGAAACUGAAGCUAAUGAAUGAUUCCACUUGAAUAAAAGUCAUGGAAGUGAUGGCAGAUGGAACUGUGAGCCCUAAGGCCUAAUAGGGUAAAUUUCUAAACUGUUUUGUUGAAAACAAAAUUCCUCAUUGAAAAGGAGAGGAAUUUUAGCAAGUAAGAAGGGAAAUGGGAGUAAUUGAAAGCAACCUCAUUUUGGGAUCUGAACGUAACGGUGGAUUAACAAAAGCCUUGGCACUGAUGCUGGUCCUUGCCAGUGUUGUCUUUGCUGUAGCAAAUUGUGUUUGAGUUUAAUGCAAAUCCAUCACCUGCCAGCUCCUUCUGCACUGGUUUCAUGUUGAAAAGAUGACCCAGGAGAAUGCCUGGGCAGCCCUUCACUAAACACCAGCCUCCAGUGGGGUCCAGGAGGGAAAGAGGAAGUGGAUUGGAUCAUCUGCUCACAGCCCUGUGGUCUGAAAGCAGCUGGUGUGAUGCCUUUUCAGGGAGAAAACCAGAUAAAACUCUCCUCUACACAAGAGGCCUUGCAGUCCAGGCUGUGCUCUGGACUCCUGUGCGUUCCAAGGUCUGGGAUCCAGGGAGCUUCUCUGCUUGUAGCAGCAAGAACCCUUACUGAGGCAAGGAGUAAAGUUAAUGUCCACUCAGCCUGAAAAAUACUUCUGACAAACGCCUGAAAUCCUUUGGAAGGUUUCUGCACUCACAGAAAUGAUGCUUAAUGAUUAACCCUAAGAGAAAUCACGUGGUAAUGUUUAUCUUCACAUAAACCCAGAGCCGUGUGUAAGCCCCAACAGCAACAGGGAGGCACUUAAAUGGGAGAGGGGGACACUGCACCUUAGCAAGGAAGCAAAGGUAAACAGCAAGUGGGAUUUUGUUUAGUAAAUAGCAAAAUGUCCUUUAUCCCUGGUCAGUAUCAGGUUAAGCAGAGUGGUUUGGGUUGGAAGGGACCUUAAAGCUCAUCUUGUUCCAACUCCCCUGCCCAGAGCAGGGGACCUUCAAUUUGUUCAGAGCUGCAUCCUUGAAUUAUUCUGAUCAUAUUUCAAUAGGAAAGUAAAUCUCCCGAUGAAUAUUGAAAUAUUGAUAAUAUUUACUGCUCUUUGAGAGUAGACAGGAUUACAGAGAGCUCCCAGUUUUUAGCUCUUUGCCUGGAUUCCUUGUGAAAGAGCGCACUGAGCUGGGAGUGACAGCUCAGUCCUUCAGUGACACCAAUCUUUCAGGUCCAAAUCCAAGUUGUCUGUAAUUUAAAAAUGAAGUUACUCAUCGCCUGCAGAACUACUGAUCCCCAUGAGAUGUGUGUGUUAUGUCAAAGGGGAUGGAAACAGGUAAAGCUCAAACUGUCCAGAGCAAAUAACUGAGGGUUUGUGCCGCUGAUGGCACAGUGUGACAUGAAUGAAAAACUGCUCUGCAGUUGAUCCAUCUUAAAUAUCAAAACCAGCCGAUGUGCAGCUGCCUUAAUCUCAUCUUUGCAGAAAGGAAAUGAAGGAAGGUGCAGUUCCAGAAUGUGCCCAUCUGGCAGAAAAGCCCUGCACAGCUGUUAGAGCUGGACAAGGAAGAUGCAAAGAUGGAAUGACCUUCUCCCUGUGCUGGGUAAGGCCAGGCCUUGCUAAAUGCUGCCUGGCCCUGGAGUAGUGAAAACAUGGAUCAGUUGGCAGCUGAAAGAACCCUCCUGCAUCUGUCAUCUGUUCAGCACAAACCCACAAAUCUGUUGGUGUUCAGAUGCACUUCUGUAUUUGUACUUUCAGUCAGCUGUCAGCAUCCUCCUGCUUCAUGCUGCAGGGGCUUGAUUUGCUCCCUGGGCAUGUACUGAGUGCUGGGCAGUAACAGAUGUGCUGCUUGUUGAGAGUGCAGAGAGCUGAGGGGAGCAGCCUGGAGGCUGAGGUGAUUAAAAAAGAUGGGACAUUGUGCUCCUCGGAGCCUGCUGUCCUGCACCACUUCAGCAGAGCUCAAGGGGAGUGAAACAGCCAGUCAGUCACAGCUGCCUGGGACACACAAAGUACUAAAGCUACUCUUUGCUUUUACGUCAGUCAUUAGUAGUUACUAUGCUUUGUGGAACAACAACAACAAAAAUACAAGUAAUUUAAAAACAAUAAUUUAAUGGAUUUUAAGAAACCUAAUGCUUUUCUUGCAAGAGUCAUGGUUCACUUUCAUGCAAGUGUCAUUUUCUU